UAAACAUCAGAAACAACACCUUCAAGUGAAGUCUGGUUAAAGAAAAAGCAGCGAAAUUGUCAGAAUCAUUUCUCCAAUUCCCUCCCUUCUAUUGUGCGACAGUUACAAGUCAUUUGUAGAGCUGUCUGUUUAGCAAUACAACAUUUUUUUCUUAACAAUAUGCUUUGUUUUUUUCUUUUUUGUGUCUACAGAGUAAGAGACGAAUGAGAACAGGAUGGAGUUUUUUUUGUAUCCCUGUGAAACUUCAAGAGCACAAUGCACUGCAGGAAUGGCUGACCUCUUUGAGGAUUCGACAGGCUGCACUCAUGUGGCAUGCACAUGGAAAUAAGGCAACGGACCGGCACCACAGACACACAACAGGUGUUGAAGACUAAUGUUCGGCGGAGGAGAGAAUCAAAGUUGUGAAAGUUCAGCAGCUGAUCUGACGCAUUGUAAGAGGGAAGAGAAGGCAGAUGCACAAACAAGCACUGUUUGAACGGGCAACCAAUCAGCAUGAAGCACACAGAGUGGAGGCCGGGUCAGCUGUCACAUGGAGCAUGAUGCUCAGUCUGAUCAUCAGCUACAGAAAGCACCUGUGUAGAGCAAGUGAUUUCUAGAUUUUAAUGUACUAAUAUGAAAAAGUACAUUUUCUUUAAGGAUAAAUGAUAAAACCAUUCUAUGGAGUGAUCUUUGUGCCACCAUGGUGCAAGCAAAAGU
rnacentral:lncRNA from 1 species